rnacentral:rRNA from 1 species
UACGUAGGGUGCAGGCGUUAAUCGGAAUUACUGGGCGUAAAGCGUGCGCAGGCGGUUUGUGCAAGACAGAUGUGAAAUCCCCGGGCUUAACCUGGGAACUGCAUUUGUGACUGCACGGCUAGAGUGUGUCAGAGGGGGGGUAGAAUUCCACGUGUAGCAGUGAAAAAUGCGUAGAUAUCCGAAAGGAACAUCAGUGGCGAAAAGCGGCUUCCUGGA